UACGGAGGGGGCUAGCGUUGUUCGGAAUUACUGGGCGUAAAGCGCACGUAGGCGGCUUUGUAAGUUAGAGGUGAAAGCCCGGGGCUCAACCCCGGAAUAGCCUUUAAGACUGCAUCGCUUGAACACGGGAGAGGUGAGUGGAAUUCCGAGUGUAGAGGUGAAAUUCGUAGAUAUUCGGAAGAACACCAGUGGCGAAGGCGGCUCACUGGACCGUUGUUGACGCUGAGGCGCGAAAGCGUGGGGAGCAAACAGG
rnacentral:rRNA from 1 species